rnacentral:rRNA from 1 species
GCAAGUCGAACGAGAAGCUUAGUCGAGACGAUUUAUCUGAUCGACUAAGUGGAAAGUGGCGGACGGGUGAGUAACGCGUGAGUAACCUACCUAUCACAGAGGGAUAGCCCCGGGAAACUGGGAGUAAUACCUCAUAAGACUACAGAUUCGCAUGAAUCAGUAGUAAAAACUCCGGUGGUGAUAGAUGGACUCGCGUCUGAUUAGCUAGUAGGUAAGGUAACGGCUUACCUAGGCGACGAUCAGUAGCCGGCCUGAGAGGGCGGAC